UUAUCAGUCAUGCAUAGCAUAUCAAUAAGCGGAGGAAAAGAAACUAACAAGGAUUCCCUUAGUAACGGCGAGUGAAGCGGGAAGAGCUCAAAUUUGAAAUCUUCAAGGUUCUACCUUGACGAAUUGUAGUUUAUAGAAGUGUUUUCUGUUAGUAGGAGUGGCAAAAGUUCUUUGGAAUAGGACAUCAUAGAGGGUGAGAAUCCCGUAUUUGGUCAUUCCUCCUAGCGUUGUGAUACACUUUCAACGAGUCGGAUUGUUUGGGAAUGCAGUCCAAAAUGGGUGGUAAAUUUCAUCUAAAGCUAAAUAUUGGCGAGAGACCGAUAGCGAACAAGUACCGUGAGGGAAAGAUGAAAAGAACUUUGAAAAGGAGAGUUAAACAGUACGUGAAAUUGUCAAAAGGGAAGCGUUUGACACCAGUGUUGUUUUUUCCGAAAAUCAAUUACGAAUGUUUUAUUUUUGAGGAGUUAUGACUUCAUCGGCUUGCUCCUUUCUUUAUGAAACUUUCUUAAUGCACUUUUCGGUUAACAAGUCAACAUCAAUUUCUUUUGUUGUAAAAGGGUAUGAGGAAGGUGGCUUUCUUUUCGGAGAAAGUGUUUAUAGCCUUGUGCCUCUGCAAUCGGAGAGAUUGAGGUCUGCAGCGUAGAUCCUUCGGGGUUAGAUACAUUUGUGCUAAGUUAUAGCUUUUCAUAGACAACUUGUUGACUAUGUUUAGUCUUGUAGCUUACUCGCUUAUCGCUAUUUUACCUACGCUUAGGAUGUUGAUCUCUCACAGUCGAGC
rnacentral:rRNA from 1 species